rnacentral:lncRNA from 10 species
UAUAGGCUCAUUAUGAGAAGGAGGAAGAAGAGGAAGAGAAAAGCUCCAAAUGGAGAAGAAAACAUUUAUUCCACAAUUGAAAUACAGUUGGAGUCAUGAUAACUGUUGUCACUGUCAUAGGAUUUCAGAAUGAACAAAAGUUGAUGAUUCAGCAAAAAGAUAUCGUUUUUCAUAACUGCUAAGGAUAAUCUUUAUCCUCAAGAACAACAGAAACAAGAAAAACAAACAUUCCCAAUCUGCUUCGUUGAAAUUUGAGAUGAACACCUGAUCUUGUUGGGCAACACUGAAUGAGAAGGGAGUAUAAACUUCAAUUACUUAAGCUUGACCAGCAGGAGCUGAUUGUGAGGUUGAGUUGCAAGUGAUGAUUUAUUUCUGGGGAACUCCCACACACACUGACAGAUGAACCUCUAUUAAAAAAGAGAUACCUCUGCACCAGAAUUCCAGGUGUCUAGACAAGUGUACACAGAAGAAGAAAAUGUCAGGUCUCUGAGCACAGGCCUGCACGUAUAUAUCCAGAUGGCCUGAAGCAAGUGAAGAAUUACAAAAGAAGUGAAAAUGGCCAGUUCCUGCCUUAACUGAUGACAUUACCUUGUGAAAUUCCUUCUCCUGGGUCAGAAGCUUCCCCACUGAGCACCUUAUGAUGGCCACCCCUGCCCGUCAGAAAGCAACCCCCUUUGACUGUAAUUUUCCACUACCUACACAAAUCCUAUAAAAUGGCCCCACCACUAUCUCCCUUCACUGAGUCUCUAUUUGGACUCAGCCUGCCUGCACCCAGGUGAUUAAAAAGCUUUAUUGCUCAC